AUACGAAAGGUGCAAGCGUUGUUCGGAUUUACUGGGCGUAAAGAGAGUGUAGGUUGUCUAUUAAGUCGGAUGUGAAAUCCCGGGGCUCAACCUCGGAACUGCAUUCGAUACUGGUAGACUAGAGUUCGGGAGGGGUAAGCGGAAUUCCGUGUGUAGCAGUGAAAUGCGUAGAUAUACGGAGGAACACCUGAGGCGAAGGCGGCUUACUGGACCGAUACUGACACUGAGACUCGAAAGCGUGGGUAGCAAACAGGAUUAGAAACCCCAGUAGUCC
rnacentral:rRNA from 1 species